GACGAACGCUGGCGGCGUGCCUAAUACAUGCAAGUAGAACGCACAGUUUAUACCGUAGCUUGCUACACCAUAGACUGUGAGUUGCGAACGGGUGAGUAACGCGUAGGUAACCUGCCUGGUAGCGGGGGAUAACUAUUGGAAACGAUAGCUAAUACCGCAUAAUAUUAAUUAUUGCAUGAUAAUUAAUUGAAAGGUGCAAUUGCACCACUACCAGAUGGACCUGCGUUGUAUUAGCUAGUAGGUGAGGUAACGGCUCACCUAGGCGACGAUACAUAGCCGACCUGGGAGGGUGAACGGCCACACUGGGACUGGGACACGGCCCAGACUCCUACGGGAGGCAGCAGGAGGGAAACUUCGGCAAUGGACGAAAGGCUGACCGAGCAACGCCGCGUGAGGGAAGAAGGUUUUCGGAUCGUAAAACUCUGUUGUAAGAGAAGAACGGGUGGGAAAGUGGAAAGUUCACACUGUGACGGUAUCUUACCAGAAAGGGACGGCUAACUACGUG
rnacentral:rRNA from 1 species